GCCAGGUGCGGUGGUAUACACCUGUAAUCCCAGUGAAGAGUGGGAGGCUGAGGUGGGAGGAUUGCAAGUUUGAGGCCAGCCUCAGCAACUUAGUGAGACCCUGUCUCAA
rnacentral:sRNA from 1 species